rnacentral:rRNA from 1 species
AAUCAACGCUGGCGGCGUGCCUAACACAUGCAAGUCGAACGCGAAAGUCCCGCAAGGGAUAAGUAGAGUGGCAAACGGGUGAGUAACGCGUGGGUGACCUGCCUUCGAGUGGGGGAUAACGUUCCGAAAGGGACGCUAAUACCGCAUGACAUCCUGCUUUUGAAGAGGUGGAGAUCAAAGCCGGGGACCGCAAGGCCUGGCGCUUGAAGAGGGGCCCGCGUCUGAUUAGCUAGUUGGUGGGGUAACGGCUCACCAAGGCAACGAUCAGUA